ensembl:lncRNA
CGCUUCUGUGUUCCCGACUCAGUCUGGCCUGUUUGUGUUUCUAGAGAGCGUGGAGGGGGAGCGGGGAGGUGGGCUUUGUGUUCACAGCGCACUGACACAAGCUUCACUCGAGGCCUUUGAUGUCGGAGCCCUUGCCCUCAUGCGCAUGCUGUUCAUGUUUGAGAAGGGGAAGUUCCAUGAUCUGAUUAACACUGAUGGCUCUUUAAAAGGGCUCAACUAUCUCUGACUUCUGAUCCUGGCGUUCUUGCCCCGUUGUGAAUUUCCUCUCGUGAGUCCAUCGCUGCGAGGGAGCGAGAGAGGGGAGAAUGAGGCGUUUGUUUGUGUGAGCUUGCGUUGCAUCUUGAGUUGACUAGAACACACUGUGGUUGCGAGUGUUCUGGAUGCCACUCUGUCUGGUGCUUUCCUCUCUGACUGUGAGUGUGAAGGUCAUGUCAUGUCCGUUCUCUCCGUCUUUCAUUCCCUCCUGCUCUCUCUCUCUCUCUCGCGUGCUUUCUCUCACUCUUCACUCCCUGUCUCUUUCUUUCUUUCUUUCUUUCUUUCUCUCUCUCUCUCUUUCUUUCUCUCACUCUUCAUCCCCCGUCUUUCCUUUAUAAUGAUGGUGUUAGAUUCAAUUUAAUUUGACCCUCAUAGCACAUUAAAAAUAAAGCAUUGAGCACUUAUAAGCAUGAUUUCAAAGGACUUCACAUUUGGGGCCAAACAGCCCCCCUCAAUCAAUACACAUUGAGAAGCUCCCUUUGAAAAAGAAAAAACUUUAGUUGGAAUGUGGUCAAAGGUGCCCCUAUUAACCAACACAGUCUGCACACUUAGUUCAAUUCCCUUUUAUUGACAUAGAACCAAUAACAAUUAAAAUUGUGUAAAGGUGGUUUACAGAGCAUAGAACCUGAAUCCCCAGGGGCAUUCAAUUAAAAUUCAAAGAGGUCUAGUUAGAGAAAAUGACCUCAAGUAAAAGUCUAGAACAUCCUAAUGUCUCACUUGCAUUAUGAUUCAGUGCAAUAUAUAUAUUGAAGUAGCCCAGUAGUUAGAUAGCAUCUAAUCUAGUCAACAGCUGACUGUCAAAUCAUACAAAAAAGUACUAUUCAAUUCAAUUAUAUUAUAUGUUUUUGUAAAAUACUGUAAUGAUAAAUGUUAUUUCAUUGUUGUUAACUCAAUGUCACAUCUUAACAGUCCCAGUACCCACAACUUUGGCAGAGAAAACAGCACAUUAAAAGGUCACAAGACAAGGUUAACAAGGUAUAAAAAGAUCUCAAUGAAGGACAACAUUCUUUGCUAGUUUUCUGAUUCUUGUAAUGAUCACUAUAACAUGCUUUCAAAGCUAUUAAAAGUAGAGUUCAAAGUUCUCACAGCACUGACUUGCAACUUUUUCCAUGGCUGCAGUUCAUGACAGGCCAAAAGCUCCUAUCCCCAACCCUGUUUACCAUUGCUCUUUUCAAAACACUUCUGAAUGAAUAACAUGAAUAACUGUAUGAUUGAACAGUAUGAGUAUGAAUAACACAAUGUUAUUGACUGAAUAUGUGAGACAAAAUUUCAAUCAAUUCGAUCAAUGCCCCCAGAAUAAAUAACAUAUUGUUUCUAUUUUUAGCACUCAUGCACAAUGCAGCAAUGCCUGAGUGAAUGACAACCUGGAACAAUAGUCAUUUUGCAUCAUAAACAGUGUCCAUUUUUUCCUAGCACUCACCUUAUUUUCUGUGGAAAAUUCUUUACAUUUGUAAAAAUCUUAACCCUAAAUAAAUAAAUAACCAGCCAAAGUGAAUUUAACACGGGGAAGCGGAUACUUCUAAGGCAACUGAACAGCUUUAACACCUAAUUUUCUCUUCAUUUCCCUCUAAUAUCCCACAGGGCUGUUCUCAUAUACAUGUGUAGGUGCUCAUUGGUGAGCCUGGAACAGUGUUUGGUUUUUUAUAAUGUUAAUUGUGGAGAAAGACGCCUAACGGCUGUAUGAGGAGCCGAACAUGGUCAAAAUGUCAACUCCUCUGAGGAAUUCCCUGAGCAUGCAAUGCUGAUGGGAAGAGGAUGCCUGAGAAAGUGAAUCAUUCUCAUCGUUAUGUUCAUCACCUCGGCAUACUUGUCUGACAGGGUGGGAGCACAGGGCCAAUUGAGAAUUAUGCAGUGGUAAGAGUGAUAAGGGAGCAGCUCCAUCUGGGGUUAUAGAAAUCACUUUUUCAUCUCUAUUCCCCACUUCAUUUAACAUCUGCUUCAUGGCCAUGUAGAUGUACUCUUGUACUGGUCUGAAGGGGUGUAACACCUAACAUGUCUUCACAAAACUUUCUUCUCCUAGUUGAAGAACCUUACAUAAACUAACAGCUCAGCAUGGUCAGAUACAUCAGUGGACUGGGCUAGCACAUCCUGGGUUUCAGUUUUCUUUGUAGUUGAUGAUGCUGACAUAAGUAUUUGUUUAUUCCUUUUUACAAAACUCUUCUUUUUGUUUUCCUUCAAGUGAGGUUUCAGCGUACUCAUGCUUGACACUCCCUCCGUCAGUACAUGUUAGGUAGUACAAGAGCGAUAGGAGGAGAGGAGGAGAAGAGAGAAUCAAAAGCAAGCAGAUGCACGCAUCAGGAUAAAACACAUUACCAUACAUACGGCAUAUGUCAUGAUGCAUACAAUAUUGAUAGUGGAUAUAAACGGAGAGAGCCAGCGUUUAGAGUAUUGGUUGGAGAACAGUUCAGUGGGUAUGCAGUGUGCUCAGAAGGUUACUCUCAUAAGGAUGAGCAGAUAUAGAAGAAUGGAUCAGAAGGAUGUUUGUUUAUGUUAGGAGUAAAUAGGCUGGCACACAAUAUGUAUAGAGCAGAGUAGAAAUUGUGCUUACAGCACUCAAUGUAUAUUUACAGAACAGAGUAUUGCCCAUAUGUAGGUAGUUACAGCACUCAAUGUAUAUUUACAGAACAGAGUAUUGCCCAUAUGUAGGUAGUUACAGCACUAAAUGUAUAUUUACAGAACAGAGUAUUGCCCAUAUGUAGGUAGUUACAGCACUAAAUGUAUAUUUACAGAACAGAGUAUUGCCCAUAUGUAGGUAGUUACAGCACUAAAUGUAUAUUUACAGAACAGAGUAUUGCCCAUAUGUAGGUCGUGAAACAUUGGCAUGAUGUAGCUUAACAAACUCUGCCAUCAUCAGGGAUGAUCAGCACGUUUCCAUAGGGACCAGUAUAGGUCUGGGGUGUGGGCCAUGCUCUGGUAGCGGACUGCAUCGCUAUUAUUUUGGGACAGGAUUAGACCUGAGAAGAUAUAGUGAGCAAAAAUGCUUCAAAUAUUGGAGAGGGGAAUUUAGAUCUCUGAUCUUAAUGAACUUAAUGGUCAUACUCAUCAGUUUUGACCUUAAUGAAUGCGGAUGAAGAAUGUUGUUACUAGGCAAAAGAAAGCAAAAGGAACAUCCAAAUGAAACAUAAAGACAAAAUGUUUAAGAGUGCACAUCAAUAACGGAUACAAAUAUGAAUACAUACAAGUUUUAGAGCUUAAUCAUAGAGAGAAAUGUUUUUAACCUGCUUUACUAUGUAAGCAAUGGAGUAGUCAGUUUGUCAUUACAUUUCUUCUGCCAAUUCAGAUAUGGACAUGGAUAGACAAAUGGGUAAAUAGUCCUCAUGGGAUCGAAACUUCAGAGAUGAAGUACUAUAUCCGUUUUCAUGAGAGUCAUACUAAACAUCCCAGAGCUCUCAGGGGUGAAUUGACUGGGACAUAAUAAUGUAGGUCAUUCUGACCUUUAUGUCAAUAAAGUGUGUGUGUGUGUGUCUUAUGACAGCAUGUUGGGAUUGUGUGUGCGUGCGCGUACUGGCACAAUCAAGCACAUGUUGCUCACAUUCAUUGGUUUUGUAAUACAUUGAGGUGAAGGACAUAUUUCCCCUGGUGAGAAGUUGAUGGUUGUUGUGGUUAUUGGCUGUUGAGGAAAUUACAGAGAGAUGGGUUUGAUGUCUGUGCAGAUUUAAUCAUCUCACUAUGGAGGUUGGAGCAGGGCAGAGUGACGGGGAAAGAAAGAGAGCCUGAGACACAGUAGGUGUGUGUGCAGACCUCCAUACUUUGGUGCAGAUUGCUUCCCUCACACUCAUGAAUACAAAUGACUCGCUCAUGGCGUCAGGGGGGAUGUUGUAACCAGGGACGUCCUUGUGGUGUGCCCAGUUCAUCAUGGCAGGAACAUUAAGCCAGGAGUAGGAUGAUGAUUAUAAUUGCGAUCUCUACUCUGUGUGAGACAUUGAGGUUUAGUGGGGUGGGUGGGUGUGUGUGUGUGUGUGUGUGUGUGUGUGUGUGUGUGUGUGUGUGUGUGUGUUUGUGUUGACAGGUCAGUGCUUCUUGAGUAUGGUGCGAUACAAUCCUCUUAUGUAUCAACAUCUUGGCUUUGGAAAUUCAUAUUUUUCCCCUUAUUUUUUGAAAGGACUGGAAAUGGGGGGAAAUGAGUGAAUUCUCUCUCACACAUAUUUUCUCUUUCUCUCUCUCUUGUUAUUUUUCUUUCUUCCCCUGUCUGUCUCUCAUAUUUCAUUUCUGGCUCCAGGAGUGGAACAGUUGUAUAAUUCUGUGUACAGUAGCCCAACAUUCUCCAUUGUUUAGAACUUCAGAAUGCUCCCACACUUCUCUCUGGCCUUGUUAUGGUGGGUCUGAUUUCCUAACUGCGUGCUCACUGGAUAACUAUUGGGGAAGUUGGCUAGAAUGUUUUUUAAGUCUGAUGCUUGCUUUCCCCCUCUAGGUUCAGCAAACAGCCUCUUGGUACAAACACAGUGAUUUUCAUGAUUGUUGUCUUGGCCAACUCAAAUAUCCAAAAGCUUUGUUUGGUUUAUCAAGACUUCAGAAGUAAUGUUGGGUAUUCAGGUGUGAUACACCCAGAUUGUGCUUCUUCUGUUCAGUGGAGGGUAUUUUUUCAGGAGUUAAAAAAGAAACAGAAGGGGGAAUGGGUGACUGUAGAUGUUGUUGAUGUGAAUAACUGCUGCAAUUAGAUAGCUUGAUAGACUUCAUUUCAUAAUUUCAUGGUACAUUUGAGGUUCAUCGUCUCAUCUUCCAUGAGUGUCUGAGUUGACUAAUCCUGUUCAGGGGGCGAUGAAUCCUAAUUUUUUGUAGCUUUCCCACUGGGCAAAUUAAGAGAUGUGAGAUCAGUAUCAGAUAUAUACGUAGAUAAUACAUUAUUUUUCUUAUUUAUGUAUCUAUAUAUUAGUGCUGUCAGUUUAAUGCGUUAUUAACGGCGUUAACGCAAACCCAUUUUAACGCCGUUCAUUUUUUUAUCGCGA